ACAAGAAGAAGAACAAGAAGAAGGAGAGAGAACGAAAAUGCAUUCCAUUUACUCCCUUCAUCUCUUUCUUUCUUUGUCUCUUUCUUUUCUCUCUUUUGUUUCUCUUUUUCUCAGUUUCU
rnacentral:ribozyme from 1 species